rnacentral:rRNA from 1 species
UGCCAGUAGUCAUAUGCUUGUCUCAAAGAUUAAGCCAUGCAUGUCUAAGUCCAAGCUGUGUUCACACGGCGAGACCGCGGACGGCUCAUUAAAUCAGUCGUGGUCCAAAUGGGCCAGUGCAAAUCCUACUUGGAUAACUGUGGUAAUUCCAGAGCUAAUACAUGCAACUGAUAUCCCGAAGGCGGUGUUUGGGCUUGCUUGCCUUGCGCUGCGCUGCUCUGACGGAUGCUUUUAUUAGACCAAGCCGCUGAGGACUUGAGGGUUCGCGCUCUCUUGUCUGACUCGUGUGAUGGUGACUCUGGAUAACCAAAUUCUGACAAGCGCACGUACUUCUCUUCUGAGCGAGACGGCGCUGCCACUUUCGAGUGUCUGCCUUAUCAGCUAUCAACCGUUCGUUAUGCGCGACCGAUGGCUUUGACGGGUAACGGGGAAUCAGGGUUCGAUUCCGGAGAGGCAGCCUGAGAGACGGCUACCACGUCCAAGGACGGCAGCAGGCACGCAAAUUACCCAAUCCCAGCAAAUGGGGGAGGUAGUGACGAAAUCUAACGAUGCGGGCGCCCUUUCUGGGGCCCCGCAAUCGGAAUGGGCACUUUCUAAACAACCUGUUGAGAACCUACUGAA